CAAAUUUUCGCAGCCCCUUCACCAUCUCGACACAGCGUCUCUCUUGCGCCAUUCAACAUACACUCUCGCGGGGCCUUCUGGUGAUCCAAAUCCACAAAUGCGCGGUCUCGGAGGAGCUCUCACGAGUGGUGCGCCAAAUCCACAAACCUCUCGACACAGUGUCUCUCUCACGAAUUCAACACACACUCUCGCAGGCUCUUCUAGUCAUCCAAAUCCACAAACGCGCGGUCUCGAAGGAGCUCUCGCGAGUGGUGCACCAAAUCCACAAACCUCUCCGAGGAGCUGUCUCGAAAUGUGGUAGUGGUCUUGCACGAGUUCUUCGCCAAAGGGAAAAGCAAAAGAUUUGGGAUUAGAAAGUUUUGCUACGAGCUUCUAGACUUGAAAUAUGCGGUGGAAAACUUAUGCGGCAACAUGCACUCCAAGUUCUUGGCUUUCUUGAGGAUAUCUGAAAAGGCCGUGGAAGUAAAGCAUGAGUUGAUUGAGCUAUAGAAGCAUAUCUCAGCACAAGUUUAACUACUUUUCCACCAGCACUCAAAUCUCUUACCUCUUUAAGGGAGUUGCAUGCUUCCAAUAACAAAUUGGGUGGCCUUCCAAAUGAAAUAGGGCAGCUGACACAAUUAGAAGUUUUGCGAGCAAACAAUAAUAGAUUUUGAAGAAUUAGUUUCCAACUUUUCAAACACCCGAGUCAAAUCCCAAGCGUGUGGUUCAGCGGUAGGGGUUGAUCCACGCUUAAACAAGGUCAAGGGUUCGAAUCUUGCCUUGUGUAUGCAGCCGCGUUAAAUCUUGAGGUCAGCUAUCCCACCCUUUGAGGUGCCUCCAACGUAGUGAGGAGAUUAGUCGCUACUGUCGGCGGUGGAUACUCCAGGAACGAACCAAAAAAACACCCGAGUCAGAAAGCAUACACGCAUUGGGCUGACUCAGCAAGCAUCCACCCACCGAGUCACCAUCCACAGAAGCUCUCGAAUGACCAUAUCAUUAAUUUCACCAAAAAUAUUAAAAAUUGAUAUAUUUUUUAACAUAAUUAAAUUAACUUCACAUAAAUUUUAUCUUUUAAAAUAAUAGAUUUAAGCCUAACUCAACCAUAUAAAAUCAAUUUAUAAGAUGAG